rnacentral:rRNA from 1 species
UUAAGCGACUAAGCGUACACGGUGGAUGCCCUGGCAGUCAGAGGCGAUGAAGGACGUGCUAAUCUGCGAUAAGCGUCGGUAAGGUGAUAUGAACCGUUAUAACCGGCGAUUUCCGAAUGGGGAAACCCAGUGUGAUUCGUCACACUAUCAUUAACUGAAUCCAUAGGUUAAUGAGGCGAACCGGGGGAACUGAAACAUCUAAGUACCCCGAGGAAAAGAAAUCAACCGAGAUUCCCCCAGUAGCGGCGAGCGAACGGGGAGCAGCCCAGAGCCUGAAUCAGUGUGUGUGUUAGUGGAAGCGUCUGGAAAGGCGCGCGAUACAGGGUGACAGCCCCGUACACAAAAAUGCACAUGCUGUGAGCUCGAUGAGUAGGGCGGGACACGUGGUAUCCUGUCUGAAUAUGGGGGGACCAUCCUCCAAGGCUAAAUACUCCUGACUGACCGAUAGUGAACCAGUACCGUGAGGGAAAGGCGAAAAGAACCCCGGCGAGGGGAGUGAAAAAGAACCUGAAACCGUGUACGUACAAGCAGUGGGAGCACGCUUAGGCGUGUGACUGCGUACCUUUUGUAUAAUGGGUCAGCGACUUAUAUUCUGUAGCAAGGUUAACCGAAUAGGGGAGCCGAAGGGAAACCGAGUCUUAACUGGGCGUUAAGUUGCAGGGUAUAGACCCGAAACCCGGUGAUCUAGCCAUGGGCAGGUUGAAGGUUGGGUAACACUAACUGGAGGACCGAACCGACUAAUGUUGAAAAAUUAGCGGAUGACUUGUGGCUGGGGGUGAAAGGCCAAUCAAACCGGGAGAUAGCUGGUUCUCCCCGAAAGCUAUUUAGGUAGCGCCUCGUGAAUUCAUCUCCGGGGGUAGAGCACUGUUUCGGCAAGGGGGUCAUCCCGACUUACCAACCCGAUGCAAACUGCGAAUACCGGAGAAUGUUAUCACGGGAGACACACGGCGGGUGCUAACGUCCGUCGUGAAGAGGGAAACAACCCAGACCGCCAGCUAAGGUCCCAAAGUCAUGGUUAAGUGGGAAACGAUGUGGGAAGGCCCAGACAGCCAGGAUGUUGGCUUAGAAGCAGCCAUCAUUUAAAGAAAGCGUAAUAGCUCACUGGUCGAGUCGGCCUGCGCGGAAGAUGUAACGGGGCUAAACCAUGCACCGAAGCUGCGGCAGCGACGCUUAUGCGUUGUUGGGUAGGGGAGCGUUCUGUAAGCCUGCGAAGGUGUGCUGUGAGGCAUGCUGGAGGUAUCAGAAGUGCGAAUGCUGACAUAAGUAACGAUAAAGCGGGUGAAAAGCCCGCUCGCCGGAAGACCAAGGGUUCCUGUCCAACGUUAAUCGGGGCAGGGUGAGUCGACCCCUAAGGCGAGGCCGAAAGGCGUAGUCGAUGGGAAACAGGUUAAUAUUCCUGUACUUGGUGUUACUGCGAAGGGGGGACGGAGAAGGCUAUGUUGGCCGGGCGACGGUUGUCCCGGUUUAAGCGUGUAGGCUGGUUUUCCAGGCAAAUCCGGAAAACUAAGGCUGAGGCGUGAUGACGAGGCACUACGGUGCUGAAGCAACAAAUGCCCUGCUUCCAGGAAAAGCCUCUAAGCAUCAGGUAACAUCAAAUCGUACCCCAAACCGACACAGGUGGUCAGGUAGAGAAUACCAAGGCGCUUGAGAGAACUCGGGUGAAGGAACUAGGCAAAAUGGUGCCGUAACUUCGGGAGAAGGCACGCUGAUAUGUAGGUGAAGUCCCUCGCGGAUGGAGCUGAAAUCAGUCGAAGAUACCAGCUGGCUGCAACUGUUUAUUAAAAACACAGCACUGUGCAAACACGAAAGUGGACGUAUACGGUGUGACGCCUGCCCGGUGCCGGAAGGUUAAUUGAUGGGGUCAGCGCAAGCGAAGCUCUUGAUCGAAGCCCCGGUAAACGGCGGCCGUAACUAUAACGGUCCUAAGGUAGCGAAAUUCCUUGUCGGGUAAGUUCCGACCUGCACGAAUGGCGUAAUGAUGGCCAGGCUGUCUCCACCCGAGACUCAGUGAAAUUGAACUCGCUGUGAAGAUGCAGUGUACCCGCGGCAAGACGGAAAGACCCCGUGAACCUUUACUAUAGCUUGACACUGAACAUUGAGCCUUGAUGUGUAGGAUAGGUGGGAGGCUUNAUCCGGGUUGCGGACAGUGUCUGGUGGGUAGUUUGACUGGGGCGGUCUCCUCCUAAAGAGUAACGGAGGAGCACGAAGGUUGGCUAAUCCUGGUCGGACAUCAGGAGGUUAGUGCAAUGGCAUAAGCCAGCUUGACUGCGAGCGUGACGGCGCGAGCAGGUGCGAAAGCAGGUCAUAGUGAUCCGGUGGUUCUGAAUGGAAGGGCCAUCGCUCAACGGAUAAAAGGUACUCCGGGGAUAACAGGCUGAUACCGCCCAAGAGUUCAUAUCGACGGCGGUGUUUGGCACCUCGAUGUCGGCUCAUCACAUCCUGGGGCUGAAGUAGGUCCCAAGGGUAUGGCUGUUCGCCAUUUAAAGUGGUACGCGAGCUGGGUUUAGAACGUCGUGAGACAGUUCGGUCCCUAUCUGCCGUGGGCGCUGGAGAACUGAGGGGGGCUGCUCCUAGUACGAGAGGACCGGAGUGGACGCAUCACUGGUGUUCGGGUUGUCAUGCCAAUGGCACUGCCCGGUAGCUAAAUGCGGAAGAGAUAAGUGCUGAAAGCAUCUAAGCACGAAACUUGCCCCGAGAUGAGUUCUCCCUGACUCCUUGAGAGUCCUGAAGGAACGUUGAAGACGACGACGUUGAUAGGCCGGGUGUGUAAGCGCAGCGAUGCGUUGAGCUAACCGGUACUAAUGAACCGUGAGGCUUAACCUU